rnacentral:rRNA from 1 species
GACGAACGCUGGCGGCGUGCUUAACACAUGCAAGUCGAACGGAAAGGCCCUGCUUGCAGGGUACUCGAGUGGCGAACGGGUGAGUAGCACGUGGGUGAUCUGCCCUGCACUUCGGGAUAAGCUUGGGAAACUGGGUCUAAUACCGGAUAGGACCGCACUUUAGUGUGUGUGGUGGAAAGUUUUUUCGGUGUAGGAUGAGCUCGCGGCCUAUCAGCUUGUUGGUGGGGUAAUGGCCUACCAAGGCGGCGACGGGUAGCCGGCCUGAGAGGGUGUACGGCCACAUUGGGACUGAGAUACGGCCCAGACUCCUACGGGAGGCAGCAGUGGGGAAUAUUGCACAAUGGGCGCAAGCCUGAUGCAGCGACGCCGCGUGGGGGAUGAAGGCCUUCGGGUUGUAAACUCCUUUCGCUAGGGACGAAGCUUUUUGUGACGGUACCUAGAUAAGAAGCACCGGCUAACUACGUG